GAUUUCUCACCCAGGGUGCAGCAUGGUCACCUCCGAAGAUUUGUCUGCUAGUGUUGUCUGGCUUUGAUAUCCACUCCCUCCUAGCAUGGGCUCUGGGGCCUGGGCUUGGUUGGGGUUGACCAUCAUAAGCUACUGCUUGCUGACCCUAGCUAAAUUUCCCUGGCUUCAUAAAACCCUCACUGAUUUCAUUUGGGGGAGCUGUCUUGGCAGAUCUGUGUGAGCACAUGGGGAGAAGGUGCUGCCAUGAACAUAGAAGCUUGGUUCUGAAGAUCAACUUGGGUUGGUGUCUGAAGUCUCUGCUUUGCUCAGCUACACACAGAGUCUUCAUUGGUGGAAAUCAUUGGUCCUGUUUGCUUUUCUUUUUCUUUC
rnacentral:lncRNA from 1 species